UUGCUGUGGAACGAGAACAACAAAGAACACAACGUCAAAGACUCGCCACUGAGCUUGACUCAAGUCCAGCAGCGAGUCGGAGAGGCCUUCGGCGAGCCGUUGGAGCGUUGACGCGAAAUCCUACGAGUUCGCCCAAGACAAAUCAGCACAAUGACGGCAUCGUGCUGGUGACGCCUUUCAGUAGU